UUGAAAAUUGGCAGGAUGUCCUACCUCUUUUUCAUGGGGCAGGCGGGAGAAGAAGGGACCUGUUGACAAUGCAGGGACAUGGUAUGCUGAGCUCAGGGCUGGGGAACAGACCCAGGAAGUAGCCUGAACAUCUAGAGCAGAAUCCCGUUAUAUUUUGCAUGUUCAAAUGACAGUUACCCAGUCACUUGCUUUGCCAGCAUGAAGAACUCCUCAACAAAGUUGCAGCUUGCACGACCAUCCAGCUGGUGGGCAGGCUCAUUCUCCCUGUUGAAUCUCAACAUGACCCUAAAGAAUGCAGCACAACCGUUUCAGUUUCCAGCCUGUCAAGACUUUGCACAAAUGAUUUGUCAAGAAAAAGUCUAAUUAUGUCUGGCUUAAGGCUUCCAUGUUAAACAGAAACAAUUGUGGUGACUGAGAAAGAACCGCCUCCUGGCACUUAAGCAAAAUCUGAAAGCAGCAUGAUUGUCUUGCCUUGUUUCUUUCCGUCAACACCCUGCGGUCAGGAAAAGAAACUUCAAACUACUUCACUUCCAUUUCUAUCAAUUUUGGGAGACUGGCAGCACCUUGGCAUUUACCUUGUACUGUAUAUGAGUCAUACUGCUAGGGCAACAAGACAGCCUGUUGAAUGCAAAGUUUGAAGUCAAGCAGACUCCCAGCCAAAACCUGUUACUGCAGCUAUCAAGCAGAUUAAGCUAAAAUUAUUUUGAUGAGCACAUCAAAGAUCAAAGUGAGUUUGGAAAUUUGGAGGAAAACAGCAGGUGGCCACUGUGUUAUAAAAUUAUUAGAAAAAAUCUGUUUUGCUACUGCUGUUUCUCAACCAUUGUAAAAUAUCUGGAGUCAUCAUUUUGUUUAUCUUUUUGUGGGAGUUGCAUAUGUCUGUUAGUAGUAGAAAUGCUUGAACAAACUAUCCUACAGUUUUGAAAAGCAAGGGCCAAAUGUGACUCCCAUUUGAAAUCAAUGUAAAGACUUUCACUGAGAGACAGGCUGGACACGGGAAUAAACAGAUAUUUGUUAAAAAUAACUGUUAAUGAAAAGUGAGGAAGGGAGCAUAUGUAAAGCUUACAACUAAACAUAAGCAUAAGACUCAUUAGAAAUUAAGGUCUACAUUAUUAAAAAGUUCAAAUGAUUUAGAAUCUCUGCUUCUGCAUGCCCAGUUUGAGAUAACUCAGAGUCUCUGUCUUGUUUCCAGAAAGUGGGCACAUAUACCAUCUAGACAAUAAGCACUUUUUAGGGUUCAGGGUCUGAAAACCGAUGCCACUACAAUUACUUUAGUGUUCCUUCCUUCCUCUAUGAAGCUGGCAACCUGCUACUACUCCUAACUAGCUUAUUGGGGAUAGGACCUUGGGGAAGUGGCCAAACCUACACCUCAUCCAGCCCUUCAGAGUGUAAAAAACAGUGGAUAGAACUCCUGCUUCAGCUUCUGCCUAACCAAAAAGGUACAUCAAUCCAUGGUCAGUAAGACUUUGCUCGUGAAAUUUCUCAGCUAUUUAAAUAUCUGUUUGUGAGCAUGCCCAGAACCAUGUAAGUCACUGAAUCAUAGAAAGUUUCAAGUUGGAAGGGAUCUCAGGUCAUCUAGUCCAACCCCUGCUCAAAACAGGACCGUCCCCAACUAGAUCAUCCCAGUCAAGGCUUUGUCUAGCUUGGUCUUAAAAACCUCCAAGGAUGAGGAUCCCACAACCUCUCUGGGUAGCCUGUUCCAGUGCUUUACUACCCUCCUGGUGAGAGAAUUUUUUUCCAAAUAUUGAACUUAAACUUUCUUUGCUGCAACUUGAGAACACUGAUCCUUGUUCUGUCAGCUGCCACCACUGAGAAGAGUUUAGCUCCAUCCUCUUUGGAAGCACCUUUUGGGUAGCUGAAGGCCACUAUUAAAUCCCCUCCUCAGUCUCCUUUUCUGCAGAUUAAAUAAGACCAGUCCCCCCCUCAGCCUCUCCUCAGAAGUCAUGUGCCACAGGCCCCUAGCCAUUUCCAUUGCCCUCCACUAGACUGUCUCCAAUUUGUCCACAGCCUUUCUGUAGUGGGGGGCCAAAAACUGGAAUACUAAUAUUGCAGCCCAGUAUACUGUUAGCCUUCUUGGCAACAAGGGCACACUGAUGGAUCGUUGUAACAGGGAAUCCUAGCCCUAUCACCAGAAGACAGGUCAGCCCCUUUAAGGCCAGAACUUUCUGGGCACAGAGUGCCAGUAAGGAGGGGGUUAAAUGCUGAGCCUGGCCAGCUACUCAGCUGACUGGAAGAGGCAGGCCAGGACUAUAAAAUCCCUGGGCAGAGCACCAGUAGGAGCCAGCAGUUAAAGGGGAAGGAGUGCAUCCCAGAGCAUCAUGAAGAGGCUUGGUGAAAAGUUCAAAGGCUGGAGGAGGGGAACUAUGAAAGACCCCAGAUGGAUGGCAGCAAUCUCAGAAGAAAGACUGUAGCUGAUGGUGGGGAGCUGAAGCAUGAACCCUGUGUAAAUGUAAGCUGGCAUGCUGCCUUCUUUAAUUACACUUUU